rnacentral:misc_RNA from 1 species
AAGUCGUAACAAGGUUUCCGUAGGUGAACCUGCGGAAGGAUCAUUAUUGAAUAAAAACUGGUUGGGUUGUUGCUGGCUCUUAGGAGCAUGUGCACACCUAAUCCAUUUUUUUAAUCACCUGUGCACCUUGUGUAGAUUUGAACAGUUUUCAAGACCUAAAAGUCCUUGGUAUAAGAAUUGCUGGUGCAACUAGCCUCCAGCUCUUCUUGGGUUCGAGUCUAUGUCUUUAUUAUUAUUAAAAUCCAGUAUUAGAAUGUAAUUAAUAGGCCAUUGUGCCUUUAAUCACAAUACAACUUUCAACAACGGAUCUCUUGGCUCUC